rnacentral:rRNA from 1 species
UAGGGAAUCUUCGGCAAUGGGGGGAACCCUGACCGAGCAACGCCGCGUGAGUGAAGAAGGUUUUCGGAUCGUAAAGCUCUGUUGUUAAGGAAGAACGAGUGUGAGAAUGGAAAGUUCAUGCUGUGACGGUACUUAACCAGAAAGGGACGGCUAACUACGUGCCAGCAGCCGCGGUAAUACGUAGGUCCCGAGCGUUGUCCGGAUUUAUUGGGCGUAAAGCGAGCGCAGGCGGUUAGAAAAGUCUGAAGUGAAAGGCAGUGGCUCAACCAUUGUAGGCUUUGGAAACUGGUUAACGUGAGUGCAGAAGGGGAGAGUGGAAUUCCAUGUGUAGCGGUGAAAUGCGUAGAUAUAUGGAGGAACACCGGUGGCGAAAGCGGCUCUCUGGUCUGUAACUGACGCUGAGGCUCGAAAGCGUGGGGAGCGAACAGG